rnacentral:rRNA from 1 species
CCUACGGGGGGCAGCAGUGAGGAAUAUUGGUCAAUGGGCGCAAGCCUGAACCAGCCAAGCCGCGUGAAGGAUGACGGCCCUAGGGGUUGUAAACUUCUUUUGUACGGGGGUAAAGUGCGACACGUGUGCCUUUGUGAAUGUACCUUACGAAUAAGGAUCGGCUAACUCCGUGCCAGCAGCCGCGGUAAUACGGAGGAUCCGAGCGUUAUCCGGAUUUAUUGGGUUUAAAGGGAGCGUAGGCGGGUUGAUAAGUUAGAGGUGAAAUGCCGGGGCUCAACCCCGGAACUGCAUCUAAUACUGGCGGACUUGAGAAUAGUAGAGGUAGGCGGAAUGCGUGGUGUAGCGGUGAAAUGCGUAGAGAUCAUGAAGAACACCGAUUGCGAAGGCAGCUUACUAAACUAUGACUGACGUUGAGGCACGAAAGCGUGGGUAGCAAACAGGAUUAGAUACCCGUGUAGUC